CUGACACGUCAUCCCAUUGCUCAUCACUGAUGAGCCUGUUUUUUGUCCCUUUGCCCCUUCCAAGCUAGUUUAAAGUUCUAUCAACAAGCCCUGCUAGCUCCUGUGAUAGAACUCUUUCCCCUAUGGAGUCAUGGAAAGUAUUGUACAGCAAUAAUAACUGAAUCUGCAAGUCAGCCUGAAAAUAUGUGAAUUGCUGCAGCAAUCAUUACAAGAAGAAAUUAUUAAAAGGGUUUUGAUGAUUGUGUCACUAAAAGUACUGCUCAUCUUCACAUGCAAAUCUAUCCAGAAGCAGACAUGAGUGAGCUGAGAAGACACCUUCAGCUCCACAAUUUUGAGAAUCAUUGUACAUAAAUUUCAGGAUACAAGAGGACUUACCUUGUCUUUUGCCAGUUGUCGUUUGGGAACCCUCUUGUGCAAAAAUAUUUUUUACUGAAAAACAUCCAGGGACUCUCUGCCACCUUUCCAUAACCAAAACAUACUGAGCAGCAUGCCUGCCCUGCUGUAGGCUUCUGCUAUGUCUCAGAUUUAUUGAAAGUUGAUUUAUAUGCUAAUGAUUUAAGUGAGAUCUUCACCUAUUA